AGGCAAAUCUUUAUGCGCUUAGUCUCUCAAGUUACCGCUGAGAAAUGAGAAACAAUGUCAAACCUUUUUUAUAUCCAAGUAUUAUUUCUCUCCCAUUGAAAGGUUGAAAUAGACAAAAUUUGUGUCACUUUGGCAGAGGAAGGAAAGAUGUCAAAGAGACGUGUCAUCCAUUUUAUGAAAGAAGACGCUCUGGACUAAACUGUGUUCCCCUAAAAUGGAAAUGUUGAAGCCCUGACCCACCCCUGCGAGACUGGAUUUGGAAAAAGGGCUCUUAGGAGGUAAAGAAAGAGAUAAAAGGAUCCCCAGGAAUAAAGCAAGGUUGAUCAGAAACAAAAAGGUGAAGAAAAGAAUGAGAAAAAGGAAUCCAAUUCAUAUUCCAUAUUCCAUGAUCAAGGUAAAAAUAAAGAGAUGGAAACUCUUAGGACAGAGGAUUAAAAGUGAGAAAAAAAACCACAUAA